rnacentral:rRNA from 1 species
GACGAACGCUGGCGGCGUGCUUAACACAUGCAAGUCGAACGGAAAGGCCCUGCUUUUGUGGGGUGCUCGAGUGGCGAACGGGUGAGUAACACGUGAGUAACCUGCCCUUGACUUUGGGAUAACUUCAGGAAACUGGGGCUAAUACCGGAUAGGAGCUCCUGCUGCAUGGUGGGGGUUGGAAAGUUUCGGCGGUUGGGGAUGGACUCGCGGCUUAUCAGCUUGUUGGUGGGGUAGUGGCUUACCAAGGCUUUGACGGGUAGCCGGCCUGAGAGGGUGACCGGCCACAAUGGGACUGAGAUACGGCCCAGACUCCUACGAGAGUCAGCAGUGGGGAAUAUUGCACAAUGGGCGGAAGCCUGAUGCAGCAACGCCGCGUGCGGGAUGACGGCCUUCGGGUUGUAAACCGCUUUCGCCUGUGACGAAGCGUGAGUGACGGUAAUGGGUAAAGAAGCACCGGCUAACUACGUG